AUUGAACGCUGGCGGCAUGCCUACACAUGCAAGUCGAACGGCAGCACGGGGCAACCUGGUGGCGAGUGGCGAACGGGUGAGUAAUGCAUCGGAACGUACCUUUCAGUGGGGGAUAACGUAGCGAAAGUUACGCUAAUACCGCAUAUUCUGGGAGCAGGAAAGCAGGGGAUCGCAAGACCUUGCGCUGAUUGAGCGGCCGAUGUCAGAUUAGCUAGUUGGUGAGGUAAAGGCUCACCAAGGCGACGAUCUGUAGCGGGUCUGAGAGGAUGAUCCGCCACACUGGAACUGAGACACGGUCCAGACUCCUACGGGAGGCAGCAGUGGGGAAUUUUGGACAAUGGGGGCAACCCUGAUCCAGCCAUGCCGCGUGAGUGAAGAAGGCCUUCGGGUUGUAAAGCUCUUUCGGCCGGGAAGAAAUCGCACGGGCUAAUACCCUGUGUGGAUGACGGUACCGGAAUAAGAAGCACCGGCUAACUACGUGCCAGCAGCCGCAGUAACAC
rnacentral:rRNA from 1 species